rnacentral:lncRNA from 1 species
UAUAUUUAUGCACAUCAAUUUCAUAUUACAAGUAGGGUUUUGAAUACCCUAUUUACACGGAGAUCUUUGAAUUCAAAAUACAAAAUCACAACAAACUUAUCUUUGAACUAUUCAAACUAAAACCUGACCUAGCAAUCUUAUCCUAUAAAGAUUUUGUUUCGGAGCUGAGUUUCUGAUAAGAUUGACUUAGUCUAACAUCCCCCCGCAAGCUAACAGGUCGAGCAACCACUGGAAGCUUGGAAACUAACCAUUUGAACCGAGAAGAAGAUAGACCCUUUGUGAACAAAUCAGCA